rnacentral:rRNA from 1 species
UACGGGUGGUGCUAGUGUUAUUCCUCAUGACUAGGUGUAAAGGGUGCGUAGGUAGAAAUAGGGUUUUAACUAAACAUGAAAAUUUAGUUUUUUUACCUUUUUUCUUGAGUUUUUUUAGACGAUAAUGGAACUUCCUGCAUUAGAGUUAAAAAUACGUUUAAACUGGAAGGAACACCAAGGGCGAAGGCAAUUAUCGAUUUAAAACUGACAUUGAGGCACGAAGGGAUGGGGAUCAAAUGGG